GACGAACGCUGGCGGCGCGCCUAACACAUGCAAGUCGAACGAGCGAGAGAGAGCUUGCUUUCUUGAGCGAGUGGCGAACGGGUGAGUAACGCGUGAGGAACCUGCCUCAAAGAGGGGGACAACAGUUGGAAACGACUGCUAAUACCGCAUAAGCCCACGGUGCCGCAUGGCACAGAGGGAAAAGGAGCAAUCCGCUUUGAGAUGGCCUCGCGUCCGAUUAGCUAGUUGGUGAGGUAACGGCCCACCAAGGCGACGAUCGGUAGCCGGACUGAGAGGUUGAACGGCCACAUUGGGACUGAGACACGGCCCAGACUCCUACGGGAGGCAGCAGUGGGGAAUAUUGCACAAUGGGGGAAACCCUGAUGCAGCGACGCCGCGUGGAGGAAGAAGGUCUUCGGAUUGUAAACUCCUGUUGUUGGGGAAGAUAAUGACGGUACCCAACAAGGAAGUGACGGCUAACUACGU
rnacentral:rRNA from 1 species